CCUACGGGUGGCUGCAGUGAGGAAUAUUGGUCAAUGGGCGUAAGCCUGAACCAGCCAAGUCGCGUGAGGGAUUAAGGUCCUAUGGAUCGUAAACCUCUUUUAUCAGGGAAUAAUGUGUGGGACGCGUCCUAUUUUGUAUGUACCUUAUGAAUAAGGAUCGGGAAACUCCGUUCCAGCAGCCGCAGUUAUGCGGCGGAUCGGAGCGUUAUCCGGAUUUGUUGGGUUUUAAGGGUGAGUAGGUGGCCUUUUAAGUCGGUGGUGAAAAUUUGUGGCUGAACCAUGGACCUGCCGUUGAAACUGGGGGGCUUGAGUAUGUUAGAGGCAGGCGGAAUGCGUGGUGUAGCGGUGAAAUGCUUAGAUAUCACGCAGAACCCCGAUUGCGAAGGCAGCAUGCC
rnacentral:rRNA from 1 species